UGACCUAGAAGCAGCUCUGCGCAAAGCCGUCUGUGUGUGGCAUGGUGUUGUGGUUUCCUUCCCUCCAUGCUGGGUCUGGCACCAGCCCCUCUCCAGUGGCAGCCCACGUGGCCCAGGACUUUGGCCAAACUCAUUCAUUCUUGUCUGUAUCCUGCUUCCUUUCAGCUUAAAAGAAGGAAAGAAUUGUAUGGAAGGUCAGCCAUGAGCAAUGUAUUUCUAUAACUCAAGGAGGCUCCCUGACUGCCACUUUCCUUGCUGGUGGCAUGCACAUAGAAGAGGCGUGGUGUGUCCUGUCCUCAGAAACGCAGGCAGGGUUGGUGCAGGUCCAGCCCUGUGGUCGCUUGGGUGCAGGGACAGGCUCCCGGCCCCACCAGGCCUCGGCAGCAGAGCUGGCGGGCUCCCCCAGGGCAAGGGUUUUAGGUCCGUGUUUAGCUGGAGUGCUCAGAGCACAGAGUCUGCGUGCAAAGUUGACGUGCUGAGGAAACACCUCCUAUUUUCUGUGCUCAGCAGAUUGUUCGGUUCCCAGUUUUCCAUGCUGAGGCUUUCACAGGCCUCAGCCACGUUUCCUCCCUUCCUCCCGCAGCUGGUCCUUAGUCAUUAGGUGCUGGUUCUGCGGAUUCUUUUUCUUCGUGUGUAAUUUUUAUGUUAAAGACAGCUGCGAAGUGCAAGAUUCAGAGCACGGAGGAGUUGUUAGGAUGUAACGAGAAGUUGAUCGUCCUCUGCGCUGAGUCGUUUCUUGGAUCGGAGCUUAGUGACUGAUGGUAGCGCGUGUCCCUGUCCCGCGGGGACAACAUCCUGAGGCACUUCUCUAGUCCCAGGCGCUC